CGUAUCAGUUAGUGUAGUACGUCGAUAAGUUACUGGUGAGUUUAAUAUUUUUUUCCAGAUUUUGUAUUUAAUAUUAAUUAAUGCUAUAAUUAUUAAUUAAUAAUGGUGUACACAUUUGUUGAAUACUCUGAUAUGGUUUUUAUUUUAGGUAAGGUUUUUCUUGUAAUAAAAAAUGUUAUGUUAUUCUGAAUACGUACAUCUAAUUAUGAGGUGCUGCUAAUGGUAUUGGUGCUCAGGCAGUUCGAUUAUGGGCUAUUUCCAAACCGUCAGCAACUUAAUCGAAAAAUCUUCACCGAUGUUUUUCGUAGAUUAAGAGAAACGGGUAUGUUUUUUUUUAAUUAUCCAAAUAAUAAUAAAGUUUUAAUAUUUAAUUUACAGUCAAAUGAGUCGUAUAUAAGCGGAUAGGAUCGUUAAAUUGACGCUUAAAUAAAAAAUAAUUUAUUCCAUUGANCGGUGAUAAUGAUUAUUUUUGGAAAAAAUCGAAUGACCCCUUAUUUCGUAAGAGAAUUUUGCGAUAAAUUCUCUGGAAUGGUUUAUUUUUAUUUUGUAUGGGUAUUUUACAAAUAAAACGGGUAAAACCAAAGUUUUGAUAAGAAAACAAAAAUUCCAAAAAACCAAUUCUUAUAGCCACAUAUAGUCAAAAUCCGUAGGGUUGGUCAGUCUUUUCUGAUACACUCUGUAUAUUUUGUUAAAUAACUAAAUAUUGUCUUUAUAAUUUUAUUAGUCGUAGACGAAUGGUACAUGCCUAGUUCCAUUCUAGGGUUUAGAGUUCAUACCCGUGUUUCGAAAAAAAAAUGUUGCACUUAUUUUUUCCCUUUUACUUUAACAAGGAAAAUCUAAUGUAUUUUAGGAGUACCUUGAGACCGCUGCUAUCGGUCGCUCGGACUAUUUUAAUUGACAAAUAUCCUUUGAUUUAUUGUCUAAGCUUUUCUAUCAAAAAUCUUGCUCAGAUGUAUCAAGUGUAGCUUAUUUUCUGAAAGGAAAUUUGAUCUCCAUGGUACUUUAGUGUAUCUUACCAGCGAAAACAUCAAAUUUAUGGGUCAUCUGCUAUAUAGCCCGAAUUUGGCACCCAAUGACUUCUUUAUAUUAUCACACAUACAAAUUGCGUGGUCAACGUUUUCCGACGCCUGAAGAAGC